rnacentral:ncRNA from 2 species
AAGGACUACUGGAGCGCUUAGAAGUGAGAAUGCCGGUAUGAGUAGCGAAAGAUCAGUGAGAAUCUGAUCCACCGAAUGACUAAGGUUUCCUGGGGAAGGCUCGUCCUCCCAGGGUUAGUCGGGACCUAAGCCGAGGCUGAGAAGCGUAGGCGAUGGAUAACAGGUUGAUAUUCCUGUACUAGUUAAUCAUGUUUGAACGAUGGAGGGACGCAGGAGGCUAUGGUGAGCAUCCGAUUGGAAAUGGAUGUUCAAACGUCAAGUCUGGUUGUGAGUCAAAUGCUUACAGCUAAGGACAAGGCGCGAUGAGGACCGAAUUUUAGUAGGGAAGCACCAGACGUCACACUGCCGAGAAAAGCUUCUAGUUAGUGAUUAACUACCCGUACCGCAAACCGACACAGGUAGUCGAGGAGAGUAUCCUAAGGUGAGCGAGUGAACUCUCGUUAAGGAACUCGGCAAAAUGACCCCGUAACUUCGGGAGAAGGGGUGCUACACGCAAGUGUAGCCGCAGUGAAAAGGCCCAGGCGACUGUUUAUCAAAAACACAGGUUUCUGCAAAAUCGUAAGAUGACGUAUAGGGGCUGACGCCUGCCCGGUGCUGGAAGGUUAAGUGGAUGAGUUAGCUUCGGCGAAGCCCAGAAAUGAAGCCCCAGUAAACGGCGGCCGUAACUAUAACGGUCCUAAGGUAGCGAAAUUCCUUGUCGGGUAAGUUCCGACCCGCACGAAAGGCGUAACGAUCUGGGCACUGUCUCAACGAGAGACUCGGUGAAAUUAUAUUACCUGUGAAGAUGCAGGUUACCCGCGACAGGACGGAAAGACCCCAUGGAGCUUUACUGUAGCUUGAUAUUGGGUGUUGACACAGCUUGUACAGGAUAGGUCGGAGCCGUAGAAUUCGGAACGCUAGUUUCGAAUGAGGCGCUGGUGGGAUACGACCCUCGCUGUGUGAAUACUCUAACCCACACCACUAAUCGUGGUGGGAGACAGUGUCAGGUGGGCAGUUUGACUGGGGCGGUCGCCUCCUAAAAAGUAACGGAGGCGCCCAAAGGUUCUCUCAGAAUGGUUGGAAAUCAUUCAUUGAGUGUAAAGGCAGAAGAGAGCUUGACUGCGAGACAGACAGGUCGAGCAGGGACGAAAGUCGGGCUUAGUGAUCCGGUGGUACCGUAUGGAAGGGCCAUCGCUCAACGGAUAAAAGCUACCCUGGGGAUAACAGGCUUAUCUCCCCCAAGAGUCCACAUCGACGGGGAGGUUUGGCACCUCGAUGUCGGCUCAUCGCAUCCUGGGGCUGUAGUCGGUCCCAAGGGUUGGGCUGUUCGCCCAUUAAAGCGGUACGCGAGCUGGGUUCAGAACGUCGUGAGACAGUUCGGUCCCUAUCCGUCGCGGGCGUAGGAAAUUUGAGAGGAGCUGUCCUUAGUACGAGAGGACCGGGAUGGACAUACCGCUGGUGUACCAGUUGUGCCGCCAGGCGCAUCGCUGGGUAGCUAUGUAUGGAUGAGAUAAACGCUGAAAGCAUCUAAGUGUGAAACUCGCCUCGAGAUGAGAUUUCCCAUUCCUAUAUGGAAGUAAGACCCCUGAGAGAUGAUCAGGUAGAUAGGCUGGAAGUGGCAGCCCCGUGAGGGGUGAAGCGGACCAGUACUAAUCGGUCGAGGACUUAACCAA